GCUGGUGUAGCUCAGCCGGUAGAGCAACGGUUUCGUAAACCGUAGGUCGUCGGUUCGAUUCCGACCACCAGCU
rnacentral:tRNA from 1 species